rnacentral:rRNA from 1 species
AUGGAUAUGGACAUGAGCUCCGCUACCCACCCUGCUCACCACUGGCUCUCCUUCUCCCUCUCCAACAACUACCACCACGGCCUCCUCGAGGCCCUCUCCAGCUCCUCCUCCGGCCACCAGAUCGCCGGAGAGGAGGCGCCGGUGGACGAGGCGCCUAAGAUGGAAGACUUCCUCGGAGGUGUCGGCACGGCAUCGACAGCUGUGGUGGACCACGGUGAGCUGGGUAGCAUCGCCGCCGGGUUCUUGCACCGGUAUCCGGCACAUGACGGGACGCUAGAUCAGAACUCUGGCGCGGUGACCGUCGCGGCGGCCACGAUGGAGGUUGCCGAGUCCGAUCAGGCGAGGAGGCCCGCCGAGACGUUCGGCCAGCGGACCUCCAUCUACCGCGGCGUCACCAGGCACCGGUGGACGGGGAGGUACGAGGCGCACCUGUGGGACAACAGCUGCCGCCGGGAGGGCCAAAGCCGCAAAGGCCGCCAAGUCUAUUUAGGAGGCUAUGACAAGGAGGAGAAGGCGGCGAGGGCCUACGACAUGGCCGCCCUGAAGUACUGGGGCCCGACCACCACGACAAACUUCCCGGUGGCCAACUACGAGAAGGAGCUGGAGGAGAUGAAGUCGAUGACACGGCAGGAGUUCAUCGCCUCCCUUCGCAGGAAGAGCAGCGGCUUCUCUCGAGGGGCGUCCAUCUACAGAGGAGUAACAAGGCAUCAUCAGCACGGCCGGUGGCAGGCAAGGAUCGGCAGGGUGGCCGGAAACAAGGACCUGUACCUGGGAACUUUCAGCACGCAGGAGGAGGCGGCGGAGGCGUACGACAUCGCGGCGAUCAAAUUCCGCGGGCUCAACGCCGUGACCAACUUCGACAUGAGCCGCUACGACGUCGAGAGCAUCCUCAACAGCGACCUGCCCAUCGGUGCCGGGGCGGCCGCCCGCGCCUCCAAGUUCCAGCCAGACGUCCUAUCGCUGCCCGCACCGAAUGUCGCAUCCCCAGACAUGCUGCCGCCGGCGGAGAAGGACUACUGGUCCCUCCUCGCCAUGCACUACCAGCAGCAGCAGCAACAGCACCUGCAGCAGCAGCAGUUCCCCGGCUCGGCAUUUGACGCCUAUGGCUCCGGCGUGAACGUGGACUUCACGAUGGGCAUGAGCGGCACCAACAACCCCAGCGGCGGCGGCGCCACCGUGUGGGGCGCCACCGGCGCAACAGGACACGGCGGUGACGGCAGCAGGCAGAGCAACAGCUACGCCAGCAACAUUCCUUAUACCUCCAUGCUGUCCGGAUCAGCGGCGUCAGCCGGCGGGGGGUACGAGGGCUCCACCGGCAACAAUGGCACCUGGGUGACGACGAGCAACCCGGCCGCCGGCACGACGGCGCCGCAGUACUACAACUAUCUGUUUGGCAUGGAGUAG